rnacentral:rRNA from 1 species
GACGAACGCUGGCGGCGUGCUUAACACAUGCAAGUCGAACGGAAAGGCCCUGCUUUUGUGGGGUGCUCGAGUGGCGAACGGGUGAGUAACACGUGAGUAACCUGCCCUUGACUUUGGGAUAACUUCAGGAAACUGGGGCUAAUACCGGAUAGGAGCUCCUGCUGCAUGGUGGGGGUUGGAAAGUUUCGGCGGUUGGGGAUGGACUCGCGGCUUAUCAGCUUGUUGGUGGGGUAGUGGCUUACCAAGGCUUUGACGGGUAGCCGGCCUGAGAGGGUGACCGGCCACAUUGGGACUGAGAUAGGGCCCAGACUCCUACGGGAGGCAGCAGUGGGGAAUAUUGCACAAUGGGCGGAAGCCUGAUGCAGCGACGCCGCGUGCGGGAUGACGGCCUUCGGGUUGCAAACCGCUUUCGCCUGUGACGAAGCGUGAGUGACGGUAAUGGGUAAAGAAGCACCGGCUAACUACGUG